rnacentral:rRNA from 1 species
UGAAGCCCCCCUCAAGAUGAGAUUUCCCAACUUCGGUUAUAAGAUCCCUCAAAGAUGAUGAGGUUAAUAGGUUCGAGGUGGAAGCAUGGUGACAUGUGGAGCUGACGAAUACUAAUCGAUCGAAGACUUAAUCAA